GACGAACGCUGGCGGCGUGCUUAACACAUGCAAGUCGAACGAAGUGGCGAACGGGUGAGUAACGCGUAAUCAACCUGCCCUUCAGAGGGGGACAACAGUAGGAAACGACUGCUAAUACCGCAUACUGAGUGAGGUGAUUGCGUCUGAUUAGCUAGUUGGAGGGGUAACGGACCAACAAGGCGAUGAUCAGUAGCCGGUCUGAGAGGAUGAACGGCCAAAUUGGGACUGAGAAACGGCCCAGACUCCGACGGGAGGAAGCAGUGGGGAAGCUUCCGCAAUGGACGAAAGUCUGACGGAGCAACGCCGCGUGAGUGAUGACGGCUUUCGGGUUGUAAAGCUCUGUUAAUCGGGACGCGGUACCGGAAUAGAAAGCCACGGCUAACUACGUGCCAGCAGCCGCGGUAAUUC
rnacentral:rRNA from 1 species